rnacentral:lncRNA from 1 species
CAUUGUCCUCACGUGACCCCUUCCUCCUUUGUUUAGCACAUUGCGCGGGUUUCUCUUCCUUUUCUUUUUUCUAACCCUAAGUCAGAACCGCCUCUCAUCUCCUCAUUCUUUUAUUUGUUCUAACCCUAAGUCAGAGCUGCCUCUCAUCUCCCGCCGCUCUUCCUCAAACUUCCUCUUCCUUGCCUCCCCUUUCCUCUCCCUAUCCCUCUACUGCUCCCAUUCCUCCUCCUCUUACUAUAUCAGAAGAUUUUAAAAACCUUUCUAUCUGUCUCAUCUUUUUCCCCUUCUUUUCAGUCUUCUCCUUUUAGUAAUGUAAAACCUAUAAAGCAAACAAUUUUCAGCUAUUUCCUUUGGAAAUAAUCAUAUCUCAAAUUUUGCAGGAAUCCUUCAAAGUUAUGAGAGCAGUUGAAACUACUGAAAGCUGCUAUUAGGCUACAAGUUAAUUUCUUUUCUCUUUUUGUUUUCCUAAUUUUGUGGCCAUUUGGUUUGUUAAUAGCCAUCUGUGUAUCGUUUAAUUCUUUAUUUUGUUUCUUUUUCCCCUUACCUAAGGAUUAUAAUUUUUUUGUAUUUCUUUCCUUUUACUCCAUCUUUUAAUUUCUCGUGUCUGAUAGGAUUUUCGUCAUGGUCCUCGUCUUCUUUACAGCUCCAGUAUUUUUAUGUCUUCGUUAAUAGGUGUAAAUAGUAAGUUCUUGUUUACCUUUUUCCACUGUUUGUUCUUUUUUAAUUACGAAAGUCUAAGUUAUAGUUUUGUUUGUUUAUUGAUUAAUAUCCUAGAUAAAGAAGGGUCCGGUCAAAAUAUUGACAUUAGUCUAUGCAAAAGCAAUUGCAUGUGUUCUACUUUUAAUAACACAUGCUCAUUAAAUAUUCACUGAUUGGAAUUUAGUUGCAACUUUUCUCGUGUAAAUUUUUAUUUUCGGAUGAGAUUUCUUUAUGUGACUAAAAUGAAUAAACUACAAACUUAAAGUAGUCACAAUACAAAAUUUUCUUGUGUAAAGUUUAGAUUAACUUGUUUCUUUUCCUUGUCCUUUUUUUUUUUAUUUUAGUUGGAAUUGCUAGAUCCAUAGGAUUGUUUGUUGUUAGGGAAAUGAUGUUUUAAUUGUUCAAAUGAAUUUCUAAAGCAGAUAAGAGCUGGGCCUUGAUCAUCGAUAGCUGACAAUUUCUAUUACUACUACUAGUGACUUGUAACAGACUCAUGGUUUCUUUAUGUAACGCGGUCAAUUAUCUACUGGUAAGAUGAUAUUGCAAGGGAAAUUGUUAUAGCAGAAAAGGCUUAUGCAAGUCUUUUAGAAACAUUUUGAUAAUGUUAUGGAGGGAUUACAGUCCAAUUCUGUAUCUGCAACGUGUUUUAAAGAAUUGCGAGGUCAACAAUAAAAUAUCUGCUUGUGGUAUUAUGAAAUUCAAUCUUCUUACCUUUUUGUGCUUAAUGUAUUACCUAUUAAAGGUGUAAAUAAGUUGUGUUUUUCCAAAAAUGACAUAAUUCUUUUGCAAUUACAGAUUUGUUAACAUUGAUAGUGUGGAUUGGUAGCGAAACAUCAGGGACAGAAUAAUUCUUAAUCUUAUCCUGUUAAUGGAAACUCCUUUGUCUUCAACAUCUUAGGUUAUAAAAACUAUUCUGGAAUAAAAACUAUUGGUAUUGUCAUAUUUGCACAUGAAUUUGAUCACUGCAAAAACAAAUUGUAAUAUUAGUUUAUGUAGAAGAUUUAGUUUGUUUGUUGCUUCUUAAUAGGCACCCUAGAGUUCUUAUGCUCAUGAUAUUAUAUCUCUUACUGUAAAUACAAGAAAUUUGUCUCUAGAGGAACUGAUCAAUAACUUUGUUGAAGAUAAGAACUAUAUCAGAGCAGACUGAUAGAGAAGAUUAGUUCUGCAUGCAACAGGAUUAUUUAUGAGAACCGCCCAGGCAAAUCUUUGAUCCGUUCUCUUUGCUAGGAGCAAAUGGAGGCAGCACUUUUCAUGGAUGAAAAGGAGAGCUCUUUGGUGAUGUGGUAGACUAAAUGGUGCAAGAAUUAGUAUUGAGGAAAGCUAAAUGGUUAUCUGCAACAGGGUCACCUUAGUCAAGCAUAUGUCCAUUACACAGAAGGCCAAUAUCUACUGCCUAAUGACAAUCAUCAAAUUUGCAAAUCAUUUUGUACUUUAAAUUAUUAUAGUCUUUAAAAUAAUAUAUGUGUUGCAUACUCCAUUUUCCACUUUCAACAAUUAAGUUAAAUAAACUUAUAAUUCAACUUUCUAUUA